rnacentral:rRNA from 1 species
UUAGAGUGUUCAAAGCAGGCAGACCAUUUCUUCUGCCACCGAAUACAUUAGCAUGGGAUAAUGGAAUAGGACCCUGUCCUCCUAUUUUGCGUGUUGGUUUUCGAGGACCGGGUAAUGAUUAAUAGGGAUAGUUGGGGGCAUUAAUAUUUAAUUGUCAGAGGUGAAAUUCUUGGAUUUAUGAAAGAUUGACUUCUGCGAAAGCAUCUGCCAAGGAUGUUUUCAUUAAUCAAGAACGAAAGUUAGGGGAUCGAAGACGAUCAGAUACCGUCGUAGUCUUAACCAUAAACGAUGCCGACCAGCGAUUAGGAGACGUUGAAUACAAAACACCACCGUCGGGUCGGCCGUCCUUGGCCGUCGUGCGCGGCGACGCGCGCGGCGGCGAGGGCGGUCUGCCGACGGACCGUA